AACCAACCCGGAUUUUCCUGACUGAUCUCAAUUAUUUCAGCCAAAUCUGUUUCAUUUACAGCUGUCAAUCUAAAGCCUCCCACGUGGUCUUCAGGGCGGGCGCAUCUCGACUAGUUGAAUGUGCAACUUUUAGGUGGGCAGUUGCACUUGCACGUGCAUGUAGGAUACUCAACAGAAAACGUCCUGGAAGUCUGGAGGCGCGUCUUCUGCGGCAUCCAGAUUACUCCCAUCUGGUGCAAACCCGGUGCGCGCCGCUGCUGCCUCUUAUUCCAGGACUAAUUUCAGUCAGCGCUUUGAACCCCGAGCGCACUGCGUUGUGGCGGAGUGUAAGUGAGUGCGUUAAGUUCGAACUAGGAGCCUGAAUACGGUUUAUAUUUUAACAACGCCAAAUACAACAAAGUAUUUUGGCCAUUUCUGUUCAGCAAGAGGACUUAGAAGUAGGAUCGCACCAUGGAUACGGUCGGCGACUCUAUCGGAGAAAGUAAGCCGGUGUGCCAGUGUACCCCCAAGUCCCGGAGCCAGCGAUGGGUGCCAGGUUUCCCCAUCGCUCUGUGCUUGCUGAUGUCGAUGAGCUCCAUCACCGUGUGUCUUCUGAUGAGCUUGAAGACCUAUCAGCUGGAGAACCGACUGCAGAUGGAGUUGGACAAGGCGUCUAUCUUCCAACACCCGAAAAGGGCGUUCGUAAACGAGGAUGGGACCCUACUGUCAGAGUUGAGCACCCCAAUAGGAAAGCUCGUGGAAGAGAAAGUGGUGGCUCUGACGCCAAAAGUGCGGCCAGCGAGGGAUGUUGGCCAAGAGUGCUCCUGUCCUCCAGCUAAUAUGUUAAACAACCACACUGUCGAGGCACUCAACACACGAGCCUGAAUGUCCUCCACGUGUUGAGUCAGCAGUGGUAUGUAUUGGGGCAUACAGUCGCCCACUGCAGUGAAUACUGUAUAUUCCAAGCACACUGACAGUAUGCCAGUAAAUAUCAUUAAUCACAGUCUUGUUUUGGCUCUUUGAGUCAGCCAUGUGGAAGUGAUUUCUGUGGCUUAAACACUGUUU
ensembl:lncRNA